GCAAACAGUCUCUGAGUGCCUCAGGCAAGUGUCUGAGUCAGCCUCAUAUAUUGACUAAAUUUAUAAAAUUUCCACAAAACCGACAAGAAAGGACUCUUAUUAAAGAACAAAUCAAAUAAUUAAACAACUACUAACUCGCUAGAGCUGCCAUAACCAACACUGCAUCACGCAUGGAAGAUUAACUACCAAAUAUAUGUUAUCGGAAAAUAAAACAUUAUUACAAUCAUUUUUA